AAAGUCAAAGGUUGUUUUUGUUUUAUUUUCUCCAAAAGAAAAGGCCAAAGGUUUUUUUUUUUUUUUUUUGGUAUCCCAGGAAAUCUCCGUGUGCCGCUUCGCAGCGGAGUAAAGCCUGGGGGAGCGCUGCAGGACCCACUACCACAGACUCCGGGUAAGACGCUUGAGGACUCCGCGGUUGACUUUCCACGCCUAACAAACGAACUGGGGGUACCAUCCGGGGAUUCGAACUUCCACGCCCAGCUUUGAUAGGGGUACCGCUCAACCAGCGAGGCCACCG
rnacentral:lncRNA from 1 species